rnacentral:rRNA from 1 species
GAAUUUUGGACAAUGGGCGACAGCCUGACCCAGCAAUGCCGCGCGCAGGAUGAAGGCCUUCGGGUCGUAAACCGCUUUUGUACGGAACGAAAAGCUUUGGGUUAAUACCCUGGAUUCAUGACGGUCCGGUAAGACUAAGCACCGGCCAACCACGGCCCAGAAGCCGCGGUAAUACGUAGGGUGCAAGAGUUAAUCGGAACUACUGGGCGUAAAGCGUGCGCAGGCGGUUGUGUAAGACAGAGGUGAAAUCCCCGGGCUCAACCUGGGAACUGCCUUUGUGACUGCAAGGCUAGAGUACGGCAGAGGGGGGUGGAAUUCCGCGUGUAGCAGUGAAAUGCGUAGAUAUGCGGAGGAACACCGAUGGCGAAGGCAACCCCCUGGGCCUGUACUGACGCUCAUGCACGAAAGCGUGGGGAGCAAACA